UAUCGGUGCAGGCUGGUGGUAGGGGUACAGGAUUUGGGAGAUGCUGUCGGAAAAGUUUAGGGAGCUAUACUCAGAGUGAAUAUUAAGGACAGGACUACAAGACUACAAAGCAAGUUUUCUAUGCUGCACUUCCUCUCUAAACAAGAAAAC